AUUCCAGCUCCAAUAGCGUAUAUUAAAGUUGUUGCAGUUAAAAAGCUCGUAGUUGGAUUUCGGAAUGGGUCAAUUGGUCCGCCGCAAGGUGAGUUACUGGUUGGUCUGUUCUUCUUCGCAAAGACUGCGUAUGCACUUUAUUGGGUGUGCGUAGGAUUUACGACGUUUACUUUGAAAAAAUUAGAGUGUUCAAAGCAGGCUAUCGCUUGAAUACAUGAGCAUGGAAUAAUGGAAUAGGACUCUGGUUCUAUUUUGUUGGUUUUGAGGACCAGAGUAAUGAUUAAUAGGGAUAGUUGGGGGCAUUCAUAUUUAAUUGUCAGAGGUGAAAUUCUUGGAUUUAUGAAAGAUGAACUUCUGCGAAAGCAUUUGCCAGGGAUGUUUUCAUUA
rnacentral:rRNA from 1 species